AUUGAACGCUGGCGGCAGGCCUAACACAUGCAAGUCGAGCGGAUGAAGGGAGCUUGCUCCUGGAUUCAGCGGCGGACGGGUGAGUAAUGCCUAGGAAUCUGCCUGGUAGUGGGGGAUAACGUCCGGAAACGGGCGCUAAUACCGCAUACGUCCUGAGGGAGAAAGUGUGGGAUCUUCGGACCUCACGCUCUCAGAUGAGCCUAGGUCGGAUUAGCUAGUUGGUGGGGUAAAGGCCUACCAAGGCGACGAUCCGUAACUGGUCUGAGAGGAUGAUCAGUCACACUGGAACUGAGACACGGUCCAGACUCCUACGGGAGGCAGCAGUGGGGAAUAUUGGACAAUGGGCGAAAGCCUGAUCCAGCCAUGCCGCGUGUGUGAAGAAGGUCUUCGGAUUGUAAAGCACUUUAAGUUGGGAGGAAGGGCAGUAAGUUAAUACCUUGCUGUUUUGACGUUACCAACAGAAUAAGCACCGGCUAACUUCGUG
rnacentral:rRNA from 1 species